GUGGCUGUGAUGAUUGGCGCAGGGGUACGGACCUCAGCUGAAUCAUGGGAGCUGAAUGUGAACUUCACCCUAACUUCCUGUACGUGGCGGGAUACUUGAGGGACGUUCAUAUGACAACAGAGCCUUAAUCUGAGCCGC
rfam:Xenopus laevis strain J chromosome 1L, whole genome shotgun sequence.